GUCUAACCUGCCCAAUGAUUUUUUUAAUGGCCGCAGUAUUUUAACUGUGCAAAGGUAGCAUAAUCAUUAGUCUUUUAAUUGAAGGCUGGAAUGAAUGGUUGGACGAAAUAUUAACUGUUUCAUCUGAAAUUAUAAUAAAAUUUUAUUUUUUAAUUAAAAAGUUAAAAUUUAAUUAAAAGACGAGAAGACCCUAUAAAUCUUUAUAUAUUUAUUAAUUUUAAUUUUAAAGAUUUUUUUAAUUAUAAUAAAUAAAUAUAUUUUAUUGGGGUGAUAUUAAAAUUUAAUUAACUUUUAAAUAUUUAAAUCAUUAAUUUAUGAAUAAUUGAUCCAAUUAUAUUGAUUAAAAAUUUAAGUUACUUUAGGGAUAACAGCGUAAUUUUUUUGGAGAGUUCAUAUUGAUAAAAAAGAUUGCGACCUCGAUGUUGGAUUAAGAUAUAAUUUUAGGUGUAGCCGUUUAAAUUUA
rnacentral:rRNA from 1 species